GAAUACUUACGACAUGGCCGCUCACACUGAUUGCCAAGAUUGACAGCACUAACCAUCGCCUUCACUUGUUCCAGGGUGAAGCCCCUAGUCACCCCGCUCCGCGCGCACCUCCUGGCACCCCGGCGGCAAACUUCUGCCGCUCUGCGCUGCCCCCGCCCGGGGCGGGACACCCCCGCAGACUUGAGUUAACGGGCUACGCCGGCCGCGGCGCUGGGGGGUUCUGUUCCCUUGCUCCCCGGACUGUGCCAAUUGACCUAGCACCGACUCCCCUUCCUUUUAAUUUUUUUUAUUUGUAUCUUUCCCUUUUUCUUUAAUGCCAUUUACUCCUGCGGCGCAGCGCACAAGGAGCCCUCCCGCGCAGUACCAUCCUGGAGCCCGCCCAGGUAACCGGGACGGAGCGAGCGAUCUGGAGAGCGAGGGAGGCAGAGCCAGGGCGCGCGGCCCGCUGUGAGCUACCUGUUGGGGCGCCGGAGGGGGCAGGGGGCCGGAGCCCAGGGCCGGGCCGCCGUCCCCCGGCGUCUUCCGCUCCUGCCCUUCCGGGCACUCCAGGGUCACUUUCAUGAAUUCAAAGGCAAUUUACCAGUGAUUUCUGGGUGCUGGGGCUGAUUUUUUUGUGCAUAUUUCUCACACAGUUUGAUAUAAACUUAAGUGAAUGAAUU
rnacentral:sRNA from 1 species